AGCGAACGCUGGCGGCAGGCCUAACACAUGCAAGUCGAACGAACUCUUCGGAGUUAGUGGCGGACGGGUGAGUAACACGUGGGAACGUGCCUUUUGGUUCGGAAUAACUCAGGGAAACUUGUGCUAAUACCGAAUGUGCCCUUCGGGGGAAAGAUUUAUCGCCAUUAGAGCGGCCCGCGUCUGAUUAGCUAGUUGGUGAGGUAACGGCUCACCAAGGCGACGAUCAUUAGCUGGUCUGAGAGGAUGACCAGCCACACUGGGACUGAGACACGGCCCAGACUCCUACGGGAGGCAGCAGUGGGGAAUCUUGCGCAAUGGGCGAAAGCCUGACGCAGCCAUGCCGCGUGAAUGAUGAAGGUCUUAGGAUUGUAAAAUUCUUUCACCGGGGACGAUAAUGACGGUACCCGGAGAAGAAGCCCCGGCUAACUUCGUG
rnacentral:rRNA from 1 species